CAUUUCUCAGUGCGUGUGUCGUGGUGGCGAGGAGCGGUGGUGUAGCUCCCUUUGGCUCCUCCUCCUCCUCCUCCUCCUCCUCCUCCUCCUUUCUUUUCCCCUUUAGUCUUUUUAACGUCUGUCCUCGUGUCCCUCUUCCUCCUCGUUGCCUUUCCUUCGUUAUCGUUCUUGUUAUCAUCCUCGCCCUCUCUGCCGGCCUUGUGUUCCUCACCUUACAUCUGCUGAUAGGGCUCACCCUCCUCUUCCUCCUCUUCCUGCUUCCUCAACCCUUCUCGAUUUUAGUUUUCUUUCUCCUUGUUCUCAUCUUUUAUCUCGUCCUCCACCGCUCCUCUCCACAUGCACAAGGACACACACACACACACACACCACACUGUCACUGCCGAUCCGGUGUCAUUGCAACAUAUGGUUCAGUCGUGAUGGUCCUCGUCCAGCUCCUCGCCACCACCGUCCCUGUUGAUGCUGCCGUCAACUUUAUUGUUACCUGUCGAACUUCACUGCAGUCCUCGUCACGAUUCCCACAUGUGCCGCUGUCAUGGCACCCUAGAACCCUCAUCACACAUGCCACCGCUGCUGCUGCUGUCUUUCAUCCUAUAACAGUCCUAUCGAGGUGGAGGAACGCUUCUCUGGAAGUGGUGAAAAUAGUAAAGCAAUCCUCGAGGACGACAGGAAGGUGCGAACGUUUGAGGUGGAUGAAAAUAAUUAAUUGCCCGAUACAUUGCUGACGAGCAGUCUUCAACGUUCACACGGAAAGAGACGCAAAGAGGAAGGGGCUGAUCAGCAAACGUGGAGAAACAGGACGGAGAGAAACCAAGAGUAUGUAUGGAUGCCGUCUCGCUGUCUCCAACCCUAGGGUGGUUGUAAGCACCGAGCAGGAUCAGAGAGGCAAGAUGCAAAGAUGGGGAUGAUAGCCCACGAAUGUCUGGCGAUGCUUUCAGUACGAAAACUCUGGGAGGACGAAG